rnacentral:rRNA from 1 species
UACAGAGGGGGCAAGCGUUGUUCGGAAUUACUGGGCGUAAAGGGCGCGUAGGCGGCCUUCUAAGUCGAACGUGAAAUCCCCGGGCUCAACCCGGGAACUGCGUCCGAUACUGGAAGGCUUGAAUCCGGGAGAGGGAUGCGGAAUUCCAGGUGUAGCGGUGAAAUGCGUAGAUAUCUGGAGGACACCGGUGGCGAAGGCGGCAUCCUGGACCGGCAUUGACGCUGAGGCGCGAAAGCCAGGGGAGCCAAACGGG